GGUUGUGAUUGGUUGAUGGUCUCAAACGAGAUUGUCCGAUUGAAUUGUAACCAUCUUCGAGGUAAUUGUGUUGUGUCAUUCAGUUGAUGGAGCAUCAUUUCUCGUCGUUUACUGUGAGCAAAAUAGAGUGUUCAAAGCAGGCUUAUGCCGUUGAAUACAUUAGCAUGGAAUAAUAAGAUAAGACCUUGGUCUAUUUUGUUGGUUUAUGUUCCAAGGUA
rnacentral:rRNA from 1 species